rnacentral:rRNA from 1 species
AGGACGAACGCUGGCGGCGUGCUUAACACAUGCAAGUCGAGCGGAAAGGCCCUUCGGGGUACUCGAGCGGCGAACGGGUGAGUAACACGUGAGCAACCUGCCCUUAGCUUCGGGAUAGCUCCGGGAAACCGGAAUUAAUACCGAAUAUGACUUUGGCUGACAUCAGCAGAAGUGGAAAGUUUUUCGGCUAGGGAUGGACUCGCGGCCUAUCAGCUAGUUGGUGAGGUAACGGCCCACCAAGGCGACGACGGGUAGCCGGCCUGAGAGGGCGACCGGCCACACUGGGACUGAGACACGGCCCAGACUCCUACGGGAGGCAGCAGUGGGGAAUAUUGCGCAAUGGGGCGAAAGCCUGACGCAGCGACGCCGCGUGGGGGAUGAAUGCCUUCGGGUUGUAAACCCCUUUCAGCAGGGACGAAGCGAAAGUGACGGUACCUGCAGAAGAAGCGCCGGCUAACUACGUGCCAGCAGCCGC